GACGAACGCUGGCGGCGUGCUUAACACAUGCAAGUCGAACGGUGAAGCUCCAGCUUGCUGGAGUGGAUCAGUGGCGAACGGGUGAGUAACACGUGAGCAACCUGCCCCUGACUCUGGAAUAAGCGCUGGAAACGGCGUCUAAUACUGGAUACGAGAAGGGCCCGCAUGGGCACUUUCUGGAAAGUUUUUCGGUUGGGGAUGGGCUCGCGGCCUAUCAGCUUGUUGGUGAGGUAAUGGCUCACCAAGGCGACGACGGGUAGCCGGCCUGAGAGGGCGACCGGCCACACUAGGACUGAGACACGGCCCAGACUCGUACGGGAGGCAGCAGUGGGGAAUGUUGCACAAUGGGCGAAAGCCUGAUGCAGCGACGCCGCGUGGGGGGAGACGGCCUUCGGGUUGUAAACCUCUUUCAACAAGGAAGAAGCGAAAGUGACGGUACCUGCAGAAGAAGCACCGGCUAACUACGUG
rnacentral:rRNA from 1 species